GUUUGUGUGGCGUAGUGGUUUGAGCAUUGGACUAGGACUCUGGAGAACAGGGUUCGAUUCCCAGCUCAGCCA
rnacentral:tRNA from 1 species